rnacentral:tRNA from 1 species
UCCCUGGUAGCUCAGAGGUUAAAGUGUCUGCCUGGAAUGCGGGAGUCCCAGGUUUGAUCCCUGGGUUGGGAA